ensembl:snRNA U6 U6 spliceosomal RNA
GCGCUCACUUUGGCGGUGCAUACACUAAAAUUGGAACCCUAUAGAGAAGAUUAGCCUGGUCCCCAGGCAAGGAUGUCUUGUAAAUUCAUGAAGCAUUGCACAUUUUU